rnacentral:tmRNA from 1 species
GGACAAUGAAAUAAACCAAUUGGACCCGGGGGCGGUACCCGGCGCCUCCACCAAAGUAUAAUCAACAAAGAUUAUAUUUUUAUGGGGGCGAAACAGGAUCGACAAGGGUGUAAAGAUUGCUCUUUUACUCGGCAUUGUACCACCGUUAUCGGGCUAGAUGAAUAGUUGCAAAUGACAACUAUGCGGAGGCACGUCUCAUCGCUGCUUAAGCGAUGCGAAGGCUUCAAAUUAAGUCUUAAACCGUCGCAGGUUUAAGCGGGGUUCGAAGGCACCUGG